rnacentral:rRNA from 1 species
UCGAUAGCAUGCGAGUCGAGAGGGGUUAUGCCCUCGGCGAACGGCUCAGUAACACGUGGACAACCUACCCUCAGAUCUGGGAUAACUCCGGGAAACUGGAGAUAAUACCGGAUAAUCCGUGAACGCUGGAAUGCCUUACGGUUCAAAGCUUUAGCGUCUGAGGAUGGGUCUGCGGCCGAUUAGGUAGUUGCUGGGGUAACGUCCCAACAAGCCGAUAAUCGGUACGGGUUGUGAGAGCAAGAGCCCGGAGAUGGAUUCUGAGACACGAAUCCAGGUCCUACGGGGCGCAGCAGGCGCGAAAACUUUACACUGCGCGAAAGCGCGAUAGGGGGACCUCGAGUGCGUGCGCAAUGCGUACCGCUUUUCAUAUGCUUAAAANGCAUGUGGG